UACAGAGGGGGCAAGCGUUGUUCGGAAUUACUGGGCGUAAAGGGCGCGUAGGCGGCCUGCUAAGUCGAACGUGAAAUCCCCGGGCUCAACCCGGGAACUGCGUCCGAUACUGGCAGGCUUGAAUUCGGGAGAGGGAUGCGGAAUUCCAGGUGUAGCGGUGAAAUGCGUAGAUAUCUGGAGGAACACCGGUGGCGAAGGCGGUCUGCUGGGCAGUUGCUGACACUGAGGCGCGACAGCGUGGGGAGCAAACAGG
rnacentral:rRNA from 1 species